UUCUAGUUUCUACUACUAGUAGUGUAAGUGUGUAAGUCUCUCUCUCUCUCUCUCUCUCUCUCUCUCUCUCUCUCUUGUUCCCUCUCCCAUCUCUUUAGGGGGCAUUUGGUGCAUGGUAUUAGAUGGGAUUAGGAGGGAUAGAAUUGCAUUUGGUCCCGUGCAAUUCCAUCCAAUAUUUGGAGGGGAUGGGAUUAGGUGGGAUGGAAUUGCCUUUAGUCCCGUGGAAUUGCAUUUGUUCCCAUGCAAGAUUUCCAUGGAUUUUGAAAUCCACCACACAUGUGGGGCCCACAUUGAUGCAUGUGUUUAUCCAUGCCGUUCAUCCAUAUACACCGUUUACAUGUGACAUUGUGGUUAUAUAUGUGUACAAGUGAGUGACAACUGUUGCGAAUUUGGUCCUUUGAUUACAAUUCCAUGGUCCACCAAACAUGAUUUUGCUUAAUCCAGUGUUUUGCCAUAGCAAAAAUUUUAUCCCAAACAUGGAAUUGGAUGGCUACAAUACCAUGGUAUUUCCAGACAUGCAAUCAUUGAGCAAUAAUGAUGUUAAUCCCAUAUAAUACCAUUCAAUUCCACGAACCAAACACGCCCUUAGUCUCUUGACUCUUUAGUCUUUAGUCUUUACUUAAGUUUUUACUAGCUUACAACUUACAAUCAAUACACACACCAACAUCAUGUCUUCUUCCCAAUCUUCCUCUUUAAAACCCAAGUUGAAUGACCCAGGUUGGAAGUAUGGGCUCUAUCGUAGUGCUUUGAAUAAGACUCACAUAGUAUGUGAGUUAUGUGGGUUCUGGUGGCAUUGCGCGGCACAAGCAAUACCUUGCACAUUUACCGGGGUCAAAUGGCCAAACAUGCGACAAAAAUACUCCAGAAAUUUGAAGGGAGAUCAUGGAGUAUGUGGAUAAAUAAUCAAGAAAGAUAUGCGAUAGUGCCCUACGUCACGGGGAAAAUAUGGAACAAGACGCAUAUGAAGAUAUAAAUGUAGUUGAUGUAGAUGAAGCUGGUCCCACUCCUCCUUACUUCGAUAGGCCGGUCUAGACCACGACCACAACCACAACCAACAGCCUCGAAAAGAGCCCGAGGGCAUGGGCCCAUGGAUAGAUGGUGUAGAUCACACCCCGAGGAUAUGAUCGGGCAAAGGGGUCGAGGCAAAGGGCCAGCUCAAACAACUUUAGAAAAUCGGUAUAAACAAAAAAAUAAGAAAACCACUAUUCAAUAUAUUGCUAAGUGAUAUUACCAAACUGGCAUUGCUUUCAACGCAGAUAAAUCGAAAAGGUUCAAAGUUAUGGUUGAGGCUAUAGGUCAAUUUGGACCUGGGCUUAAACUUCAUUCAUAUCAUGAAAUGAGGGAGACAUGCCUGAAAACCGAAAUUGAUUACACACGAUCCUUUAUAGUUGAAUAAAAGAAAUCGCAGAAAACAUAUGAAUGUUCACUUAUGGCCGAUGGAUGGACCGAUAGAUCCAGUCAGUCUCUCAUUAGCUUUCUGGUAAAUUGUCCAACUGGGACAAUGUUCUUGAAGUUCGUGGAUGCAUCGGGUCAUUCAUAUACUGGAGAAUACUUGUUUAGCUUACUAGAUAAUGUAGUUGAGGAACUAUGUAAGGAAUACGUUAUACAGGUAAUUAUAGACAACGCAGCCCCAUAUGUAUUGGUCGGUCGUCUUCUUAUAGAGAAGAAGCUUUGUUUAUUUUGGACCCCGUUGUGCAAUCCACUGUGUUGAUCAUAUGUUAGAAGAUAUAGGUAGGUUAUUUAUAAAUGUGAUUACAAGGGCUAGAAGAAUCAUGAUCUUUAUGUACAAACACACCCUUCUUCUCAGGUGAAUGAGAAUACACAUUGGGGUAACUUGCUACAUCUAGCAGUCGCCCGUUUCGAUACAACUUUUUAACACUACAAAGAUUACAUGCAAAAAAUAAAAAAUUAAAAAUUAGAAGCUUUAUAAUGUCGGCCGAUUUUACAAGUGUGCUUUGGUCAAAAGAAGGUUGAAGGGAAACAGGUUCAACAAACAAUCCUUUCGCAAAGUUUUUGGACACAAGUGGUAAAGGUGCUAAAAGCAUCUGAGCCCUUAGUCACUGUGUUGCGAUUAGUGGAUGUGGAUGAGAAGCCUCCAAUGGGUUACAUAUAUGAUGCGAUGGAGAGGGCGGGAAAUAAGAUCAUGAACCAUUUUAAUUAUAGAGAGCGUGAUUACAAGCCAAUUAUAGAUAUUAUAGAUAGAAGAUGGGGCAGCCAAAUGUCAUCUCCAUUGUAUUCGGCUGCUUACAUCAUUAACCCAGCCUAUUUAUUCGCUUGUGCUGAUUUAGGAGAAGCACUUACUAUGCAUAUGGUUGGAUUUAUUGACGUGUUGGAAAAAAUAAUUCCAGAAAAAGAAGAACAUUACAGGAUCUCAGCUUUACUGGACUUCUAUACAGAGUAAGGGCAUAUUCUCAAGGGAUAUCGUCAUUAGACAUCAGACAAUGAAAUUACCUAGUAAGUACUAUGAAUGUCUUACAAAUAGUUUGUUAACAAUGUAAUCUACAAAGGGACUAACAUACUUAAACUGUUUUUCUCAGUUGACUGGUGGGCUGCUUAUGGAGUGGACCCGAACAGGAAGGAUCCAGCUCUAAAGAAGCUGGCUAUGAGGAUUCUUGGACUCAAGUGUUCUGCCAGCGAUUGUGAGCGCAACUGGAGCACGUUCGAGGCGAUAAAUUCAUACCAAGAAAAUGAAUCACCUUGAGCAAAAUAAGUUCAACGACUAGGUUUUCGUCUAAUACAAUAAAAAAUUGCGAGAACGAUUUCAGACUAGGAAAGAAAAGCCUGGUUUCUUUGGCCCUAUCGGCUUAGAUGAGCUGGAUGCAGAUAAUGAGUAGCUCGUAAAGACGGAGGACCUGGUACUUGCAGGAGAGAGCCUGACAUGGGCGCAAGUUGAAGAUGCCGCAUACGGAUCGACACCUGGAGAAAGUACCACUCGAAGGCGAAUGAUAGGGGGAGCCGGGGGCGAGUAGUAGUGGUCAACCCGUUGGAGAGAUUGAGGAGAUAGAAGGAGGAGAUGAUAAUGAUCAAGUUGAAGAUCCACCAUUGGAUGUUGAUCAAGUAUUAGUACAUACAAAUGAUAAAGAAACAGAAGAAGAAGAAGUGUAUGUGGAAGAAGGAGAUGACUCGGAUGAUGAUGGUGAUGACGACGAUGGUGGUGAUGAUUAAAUGCCAUAAUGCCAAAUAGAUCAAUGUAUAUAGUAGAUCAAUAAUAAAGAAAUAGCUUCUUCAUUUUGUUUA